UUCUCACUAAGAGGAGGAGCUCAUGCAAAGCUUAGAGCUUCUUAAGAGCUUUUCAGAUGCCAGUGAACACAGUUCAACAUGAUGGUCUAUAGGGCAGGACUGCUGCUGGUAAUUCUCUGCAGGGCAGGUGCAGAUGCUCAGACUCUGACAGAAUCUGAACCCGUGGUUAAAAGGCCUGGAGAAUCCCACACACUGACCUGUACAUCUUCUGAGAUUGACUUUGGUCACAAUAAUAUGAACUGGGUCAGACAGGCGCCUGGAAAAGGACUGGAGUGGAUCGCUUUCAUCGGCAUUCGCAGCAUAAACAAGUACUACUCUGAGUCAGUUAAAGGCCGGUUCACCGUCUCCAGAGACAACAGCAGAGAACAGCUGUUUCUGCAGAUGAACAGCCUGAAAACAGAGGAUUCUGCUGUUUAUUACUGUGCCAGACAGUCCCAGUGACUGAAGUUGGUGGAGGAGCUGAACAAAAACCUACCACAUCAGACACUUACAGACUUACAGACUUAACAUCGGUUUCUGGUGUGUUGAAAUAUAUUUUUAAAUGUUUUAAAAGCUUUUUUUUUUAAAUCCUUCUCAAAUGGAUUUUCAUUUAAUACUAAAAAGUGUUUUUUGGAAUUUUGGAACAGGACAUCGAGGGUUGGAAACCGCUGAACUCUGAAAGAUGGGAUGGAGGCAAAAUAAGUCUUCACCACCAGAGAACAACAUUACAAAAUUAAUGACACGUAAAUAUGGUGAUGAAGGUGUUUAUGUCUCCAUGAUUGGGUAAAUAAUUAUGGGUUUAAACAUAAAAUGGUGAUGUCAUGGGGUACAUGUAGGACUAGAUAAGUCUACCUUCUUCCUACUCCGUUCAAGCAUGUACUAGGUCAGUUGAAAGCUGAAAUGCAUUUUCUUGUA